GGGGAUAACACUUGGAAACAGGUGCUAAUACCGUAUAACAAUCGAAACCGCAUGGUUUUGAUUUGAAAGGCGCUUUCGGGUGUCGCUGAUGGAUGGACCCGCGGUGCAUUAGCUAGUUGGUGAGGUAACGGCUCACCAAGGCUACGAUGCAUAGCCGACCUGAGAGGGUGAUCGGCCACAUUGGGACUGAGACACGGCCCAAACUCCUACGGGAGGCAGCAGUAGGGAAUCUUCGGCAAUGGACGAAAGUCUGACCGAGCAACGCCGCGUGAGUGAAGAAGGUUUUCGGAUCGUAAAACUCUGUUGUUAGAGAAGAACAAGGAUGAGAGUAACUGUUCAUCCCUUGACGGUAUCUAACCAGAAAGCCACGGCUAAC
rnacentral:rRNA from 1 species